GCAUUGCCUCACAGUGCCGUGGUGCGGGAUGUGGGAGGGACGAGCAGGAGCUGGAGCAGAAGGGCGGCUUAGAGCCUCUGCCGGAGCCUCGCAGAUGGACGAGCAGACGCUGCCAGGGGGGAGACACAGGCUGGCGGCGAGGGAAGUGGGGCCAGCAGGGCCGGGGGAGCGCAGGAGCUCAGCCAGGAGCAGGAUUUCCCAGCCCCGAGGGCUGGACAGUGCCCGCAGGGAGCCAGCACAGGCAGCUCUUCCGUGCCAGCGCGAAGCCAGGGGCGAGCUGGCUGGAGGAGCCCAGCCCCGGCUCAUCCGAGGCGCAGGGAUGUCGACACACUGCUCCAGUUUGGAUCAUUUAACGCUCUAAUGAGAUGCCUUAAAAAUACAAACGAGCCGCCUGAUACGGUGGGAUGCAAACCUAUCUCCGUGGCACUAAUUUUCCUGAAGAUGCUUUUUGUCUCUGCAGGCUGGAAACUUCGAUGUAAAAAUUUAUUGUGCGGCCUCCCCUAAUAAAAUGUGAUGGUUUUACU